CCUCCCAGAAUGGAGCUGAAUCAGAAAUGGAGUAGCUUGGGGCCAGCACCGUGGCUCACUUGGUUAAUCCUCCACCUGUGGCGCCGGCAUCCCAUAUGGGCACCGGGUUCUAGUCUCAGCUGCUCCUCUUCCAGUCCAGCUCUCUGCUGUGGCUCAAGAAGGCAGUGGAGGAUGACCCGGGUGCUUGGGCGCCUGCACCCACGUGGGAGACCAGGAGGAAGCACCUGGCUCCUGACUUCAAAACAGCAUAGCUCCGGCCAUGGUCUCUCUCACUGUCUAACUCUAUCAAAAAAAUUAAAAAAAAAAAAAAAGAAAGAAAGAAAGAAAUGGAACUGGAACUCUAAUCUGCAUUCCAAUAUGGGUUACUGGAGUCCUAAGUGGCAGCUAAGCCUACUGCAUCACAAUGCCUGCCCCACUAUAGUUCCUUUUUUUGUGUCUUUCUUCUCCCAAGUCCUUUGAGAGCGAAGACUCUCGAAUCCCACUGACCAACCCAGCCCAAAAGUCAGUUCGGUGAAUUGAUUCAGAGGGGCACGCAUUCCCAUUGGAAGUCUCUGGCUGGUUUCAGCUGUAUGAAUCCUGGCCCCAGGAAAGCUGAGAGUGAGCCAGCCAGCUGUGUGGCAUUGACCACCAAGCCAUCCAAUGAUCCUUUCUGCUCUCAUCUGCUUGGCAAAGGAGCCAGCAGCAAGCAAACACUGAGAUCCUCUGGGAAGUGGAAGAUGCAGGAUAAUGGGCAGUCAGGAUCCCCAGCAGGCCCCAGCUUCACCAAACCACUGAAAGGAUGAGGCUCAGCAAUCGGAAGUCAGCUGAUCAUCCCAGGGCAUGAUGGGACCAGAGGAGAGAGGAACAUGGGAGCCAGUGGCUAGUCCAGGCGGAGUUCAGACUCACACAGGGCAGUUUGUAGCGAGGGCAGCCGUGUGGACACACCAGGGCUCUUCAGGGAGACAGCGGCCCCGCACUCCAGCCCUCCUGAGGACAAGGCUGAAAUGGUCACAGGUGGAAAAAGCUACGUCUGCCUCUGGCAAAUGAGAGAACUUCUCAGAGCACCAGGGAAAUGGAGUUAAAAGAUUGUCAAUCUGGCAACCAGUACUGAGGCUAAAUUAUCUUCUUGAACAUCUUAAAUGAUGAGAGGAAGGCCUCUGGGAUACGGAUUCUUGGCAUUGGUUACGUGACGAAAUCUCUAGAUCUGAAAAGUUGAGCAAGAGACGUAUUUGAACCACAACUAUUUAUUCUUGCAAAAUCAGCAUGGACUUUUGGACCGUUUGGGCUGGAAGGAGACAGCAAGACCAUGUAGCCCAACACGUGAACAGAGGGGAGAGGUGGGAGCCUGGAGUUUCACUGUCAAAGUUACCUCCAGGUCUAACAUCUGGUGCCCUCGCUCUGAGAGGGGAGAACAGAGGGGAUAAAGCCGAAAGGGAGGUGGGAAGCUGUGCUGAACGUGGAGAGGGGCUGGUAAGCCGAAAGGGAAGUGAGACUGUCUGGGUUUGGGGUUGCUUGUCACUUCUCUCUCCGGGUGGCUGUUCCAGGCUUCUCCCCGGACCAUGCAGCCUUCCUGCUCAGGGUUCAGGCUUCUCUGCGCUGAGCCCCCUCCUCCAGGCCACCUAGGUCCCUUCCUUCAGUCCCUCAAACACAGCCAGCACAAGACAGCUGCAAGCAAUCAACUACUGGGGAGUCUUGAAGUGCGAGGACCUUCGUGCAGGAGAGAAAAGCAGGAGAGCUUCACCACAGAGCCUCCCGGCGCCCUCCAGAGACCUCAACAUGAACAGCCACAAGGGGGCUCCUACUGUCAGGCUCAGCCCUUGGCUCCACUCUGCUGACAUACUGUGUUUGUCCUUAUCUUUCCAGAACUGGAACUGGAAGUCCCCACUUUUCCAAGCCAACGACUUCCACUACCAUCCUUCCUCCCUAUUCCAGUAAGAAACAGCUCCCCUAGAAUAAUCUGUGAGAAGGAUGCUACCUGAGUCCAGGGAAGCAGACUUUCCCAUUCUAUAGUCUGCAGAUAGAUGAUCCCUGAUUUAGGCGGUUCAACCACAAUUUUUCCACUUCGCAGUGGUGUGAAAAUGCAACACGUUCAGUCGAAACCAUACUUCAAAGUUUGAGAUUUGAACUUUUCUGGGGCUGGUGCUGUGCCAUCCACUCCUCUGAGAGCCCAGUUCCAGUCUCAUGGACACCAGGGAAACAAAUGAGACUGCCAGAGCCUAAUUUCUACACUUUGACCAGAUCACAGCUCAACAUUCGAACAUUACGUUAAUUCCAAUGGAACAAUAUUUGAUGGCUAGGAAGAUAUGUCAGCCUCUGGGCCCCUCCUUGAACAUUUUAAUUCUUACAGUUGUGUUCCCUAGGUUUUGUAUUCAUUUGCUCAUUGUCAGUCAACAAACAGUCUAGCCAUUAGCCCUAGAAGAAAACUACCCACCUGUCUGCCCAGCCCCCACAUCAGCCCAGGUGCUCCCUUUCUGCACUUAGCCCAUUCCUCCUCUCAUUACCCCUUUUGUGGCUGCUUCUUCCAAGUCCCCACUGAGAAUUAAAAUAUCUCAUCCUUUGGGCUCCAAUGGGUUUCUUCAGGACCCACAAGUUGACACGUGUUCCAGUGGUAGGAUCUCUGAUCAGGCUUCAUGUAUGAGCAGGGACAGAUCUGUAGACUCCCCAGGAUACCCAGGUGGCCUCAGUGUUCCCCAGCAGAGACAGGAAUAUUGAAAAUGUUUGGAGAAGAGAAUAACAUGACCCAAGUGCUGUUUUAGGGAGUUUCAAAUGAAAUUAAUCUCAGUUCUGAAAAGUUAGAAAAAGUAGAAUCCAUUGGUGUGAUACGUAACUUUUUUUGUUUUUUCUUUUUUUCCUUGUUUUUUUUUUUGUUUUUGUUUUUGUUUCUUUUUUCUUUUCUUUUGUUAUUUUUUUCUUUCUUUUUGUGAUGUGUAACUUUAAUUUAAAUAAAUGAACUUUGAAAUAAGCUGUUAAAUUCAUGCAUUGUCAAUUGUUUCUUUUGUGACUAGUAGAUGGAUGGCUAUCAGCUGA